rnacentral:rRNA from 1 species
UGAGUCUCUUAGAGGAGGGUAGAAUUCCAGGUGUAGCGGUGAAAUGCGUAGAGAUCUGGAGGAAUACCGGUGGCGAAGGCGGCCCCCUGGACCAAAACUGACGCUCAGGUGCGAAAGCGUGGGGAGCAAACAGGAUUACAUACCCUGGUAGUCCACGCCGUAAACGAUGUCUACUUGCAGGUUGUGCCCUUGAUGCCCUCCUUCCUGAGCUAACGCGUUUAGUCGACCCCCAGGGGAGUUCCGCGGCAAGGCCGGAGACUCUUAUGAAUGACGGG